rnacentral:lncRNA from 1 species
GUGGUACUGAAAAGAUCUUGGAGGUGGUGUCCUGGCCAGACAUCCACCCAACAUAUAUGUUAUCAUCUCUUGGUGACUCAGAAAGUCUUUGAUCAAAACAAGAUGAAGAUGAAAAAAUUUUUAAUAUUUCAUCAUUGGAGUCAUCUUUGAUUGAUAGAUAAUCAAUAUAAAUACAUGUUUGAGUGUGACAUGAUUCCAUACUCAUGAACAUAUUCAAAGUGCAGGGA